rnacentral:rRNA from 1 species
UGGGGAAUCUUGCACAAUGGAGGAAACUCUGAUGCAGCGACGCCGCGUGAGCGAAGAAGCCUUUCGGGGUGUAAAGCUCUUACGCCAGGGACGAUAAUGACGGUACCUGGAGAAGCAGCUGCGGCUAACUACGUGCCAGCAGCCGCGGUAAUACGUAGGCAGCAAGCGUUGUUCGGAAUUACUGGGCGUAAAGGGUGCGUAGGCGGACUUCUAAGUGAGAUGUGAAAUACCCGGGCUCAACCUGGGUGCUGCAUUUCAAACUGGAAGUCUAGAGUGCAGGAGAGGAGAGUGGAAUUCCUAGUGUAGCGGUGAAAUGCGUAGAGAUUAGGAAGAACACCAGUGGCGAAGGCGACUCUCUGGACUGUAACUGACGCUGAGGCUCGAAAGCGUGGGGAGCAAACA